UGCUUAAUGCAGCCACAGCCUGUCACAAGCCAGGAUAAAUGCAGAGUGAGUA
rnacentral:ribozyme from 2 species